AGUGAACGCUGGCGGUAGGCCUAGCACAUGCAAGUCGAACGGCAGCACAGUAAGAGCUUGCUCUUACGGGUGGCGAGUGGCGGACGGGUGAGGAAUACAUCGGAAUCUACUUUUUCGUGGGGGAUAACGUAGGGAAACUUACGCCAAUACCGCAUACGACCUACGGGUGAAAGCAGGGGAUCUUCGGACCUUGCGCGAUUGAAUGAGCCGAUGUCGGAUUAGCUAGUUGGCGGGGUAAAGGCCCACCAAGGCGACGAUCCGUAGCUGGUCUGAGAGGAUGAUCAGCCACACUGGAACUGAGACACGGUCCAGACUCCUACGGGAGGCAGCAGUGGGGAAUAUUGGACAAUGGGCGCAAGCCUGAUCCAGCCAUACCGCGUGGGUGAAGAAGGCCUUCGGGUUGUAAAGCCCUUUUGUUGGGAAAGAAAAGCAGCAGGUUAAUACCCCGCUGUUCUGACGGUACCCAAAGAAUAAGCACCGGCUAACUUCGUG
rnacentral:rRNA from 1 species